rnacentral:rRNA from 1 species
UACGUAGGGUGCGAGCGUUGUCCGGAAUUAUUGGGCGUAAAGAGCUUGUAGGCGGUUUGUCGCGUCUGGUGUGAAAAUCCAGGGCUUAACCCUGGACCUGCAUCGGGUACGGGCAGACUAGAGUGCGGUAGGGGAGAUCGGAAUUCCUGGUGUAGCGGUGAAAUGCGCAGAUAUCAGGAGGAACACCGGUGGCGAAGGCGGAUCUCUGGGCCGUAACUGACGCUGAGGAGCGAAAGCGUGGGGAGCGAACAGG